ACGGUAGCUAAUACCGCAUAACGUCGCAAGACCAAAGAGGGGGACCUUCGGGCCUCUUGCCAUCGGAUGUGCCCAGAUGGGAUUAGCUAGUAGGUGGGGUAACGGCUCACCUAGGCGACGAUCCCUAGCUGGUCUGAGAGGAUGACCAGCCACACUGGAACUGAGACACGGUCCAGACUCCUACGGGAGGCAGCAGUGGGGAAUAUUGCACAAUGGGCGCAAGCCUGAUGCAGCCAUGCCGCGUGUAUGAAGAAGGCCUUCGGGUUGUAAAGUACUUUCAGCGGGGAGGAAGGGAGUAAAGUUAAUACCUUUGCUCAUUGACGUUACCCGCAGA
rnacentral:rRNA from 1 species